CAGUCUCCUGCCACCAGGUGGUGAACAACUUCCUCCACCACAGCCUUCUACCACGGGGCUUCUGCCUUGGAGCCAGCCGACCUAGACUGAACUGUCAGAAACUGGCAACAGCAUAGCACGGGUGUCUCAAACGCUGGCGAGACACUCUAAUGAAAAGAUGGAAAUAGCUUGGUGGAUGGGAUGUGUCUAAAGGAGCCAUGGUACCUGCAGACAACUUAGUUUACAAGAUGGAUCAAAGGAGGAGAAGAUGUGGUGGUCCAGCCAUCACAACACGAACAUGCCUGAGUCGGGGAGUGAGG